CCUCAAUAGUGAAGAGAGUUUAGACGACAAUACGGUAGUUCAGCGAUCUGAUUAUCCGUUUUGCAUAAUUGUAAAGUUCUCGUUCUUUGUUGUGUUCUUCGUUGUAGGUAAAGCCCUUCCUGGGAAACUUAUUCUACUAUUGUGGAGUUAUAUUAAUUACUAUUUGGGACAUCAGGUCUUUAUUUCGGGCGUGAAGCAGAUAUCACUUCGUGGGACUUUCCUGGUAAAUAUUUUUCCCUUCAGAGUUCAGAGGUUGUGCUGGCAACACAUCAAAAGGAACUAACCCUACUGGUUGAGGAUAGUCAAAGGUAUCAACCCCACUGGUAUAAUCAAAGGAAUUAACUGUUAACUCCUUACUACUUUGUCUUUCUGAAAAAAACUUGAAACUUCACGAGGUGGACCUUCAUGAAUUAAGAUUGUCACGGCUGGGCGUCUCCAGUUAGUCUGUGUGUGAAGGCUGCCCAGGGAAAUUGAAGCAAGUCACCAGCUUUUAACAUCAGCAUGUGGUCGCCGUAGGUAAAGAAACACCCAACAAUGAUAGAUGAAGGUCUUCCUUACUUGAGAGGAAUGAAGCCAUUUUGGUUCUCUAGGAAAAAGGGGAAUAAAAAGAAAAGAACCUUCUUUUGAGUAUCGUGAAAAUACAACAGUUGCCAU